rnacentral:rRNA from 1 species
AUUGAACGCUGGCGGAAUGCUUUACACAUGCAAGUCGAACGGCAGCACGGACUUCGGUCUGGUGGCGAGUGGCGAACGGGUGAGUAAUGUAUCGGAACGUGCCCAGUCGUGGGGGAUAACGUAGUGAUAAUUAAGCUAAUACCGCAUACGAUCUAUGGAUGAAAGCGGGGGAACGCAAGACCUCGCGCGAUUGGAGCGGCCGAUAUCAGAUGAGGUAGUUGGUGGGGUAAAGGGCCACCAAGCCAACGAUCUGUAGCUGGUCUGAGAGGACGACCAGCCACACUGGAACUGAGACACGGUCCAGACUCCUACGGGAGGCAGCAGUGGGGAAUUUUGGACAAUGGGCGAAAGCCUGAUCCAGCCAUUCCGCGUGCAGGAUGAAGGCCCUCGGGUUGUAAACUGCUUUUGUACAGAACGAAAAGGUUUCUACUAAUACUAGGAGCUCAUGACGGUACUGUAAGAAUAAGCACCGGCUAACUACGUGCCAGCCGCCGCCGUAA